rnacentral:lncRNA from 1 species
UUGUGCUAAUAUUUUGACUACUGAUGAUAUUAAUAUUUACAUUAAAAAAAACCUCUCUCUAAGUUUAUCUCUCUAAUGUUUCUCUAAGUUCUCAAGUUUUCCUGGCCUUAUCAUAUCCUUGAUAAGCUUUGGUUUCUAUCUUCCAUCCGUAAGACGUGAUCUUGCCUAAUGCUAUAAUUAAGCAUAAGCGUUUCUGUCAAUACGACUCUGUCAACACGAAUUUCGUGGGGAGGUGAUUUCCUAAUAGUGGUUGAGCGAAUCGAUGGCCGAUGGAUAGCGCCUAUAUCACUCCCUUUACCUGGAAAUUACUGAGCCUCGUUUGCCAAUAUAACUUUGGCAAUAUGAUCGACCGCUUAUUUU